rnacentral:rRNA from 1 species
UAUUGCACACUGGGGGAAACCCUGAUGCAGCGACGCCGCGCGAAGGAUGAAGUAUUUCGGUAUGUAAACUUCUAUCAGCAGGGAAGAAAAUGACGGUAUCUGACUAAUGAGCCCCGGCUAACUACCUGCCAGCAGCCGCGGUAAUACGUAGGGGGCUAGCGUUAUCCGGAUUUACUGGGUGUAAAGGGAGCGUAGACGGUAUGGCAAGUCUGAUGUGAAAACCCGGGGCUCAACCCCGGGACUGCAUUGGAAACUGUCGGACUAGAGUGUCGGAGAGGCAAGUGGAAUUCCUAGUGUAGCGGUGAAAUGCGUAGAUAUUAGGAGGAACACCAGUGGCGAAGGCGGCUUGCUGGACGAUGACUGACGUUGAGGCUCGAAAGCGUGGGGAGCAAACAGG